UUAGGGGCACCUUAGGGACGCCAUUCGGGUCUGUUGGGUGUAUUGUUCAAGCGUGAAUAAGCAAAUCUUGCCCAGCAGUGUUUACCCGAGACAUAUUCAUUGGGCGGACAGAUCCGGCGGGUUUUAUGUACAUUUCUUCGAAAGCCAUAACGUGACCAGUGGUUUUACUGUUUUUAUAACAGCACAUUUUUACAGUGUGUCACGGAAGCUUCUGUGGAUAAGGAGAUGACAGCACAUGAAUCUAUUUUUGGACUGAGCGUCUGUCACGGGACGGAUGUUCAAGCACUCAGGUUCUGAAAACAGGUUCAGGUGCCAAUUUCUGGUGUAGGGUGACAUUCAAUGGCAUUUCUCGUCAAACUUCAUUAUUAAAGUUCCACUCUUUCUUUUUA